UAAGGUGUUGCUAGGUGGUUGCUAGGUGGUUGCUAGGGUGUUGCUAGGCGGUUGCUAAGGUGUUGCUAUGGUAUCUGGGGUGGUUGCUAAGGUGUUGCUAGGUGGUUGCUAGGUGGUUGCUAGGGUGUUGCUAGGCAGUUGCUAAGGUGUUGCUAUGGUAUCCGGGGUGGUUGCUAAGGUGUUGCUAGGUGGUUGCUAGGUGGUUGCUAGGGUGUUGCUAGGCGGUUGCUAAGGUGUUGCUAUGGUAUCCGGGGUGGUUGCUAAGGUGUUGCUAGGUGGUUGCUAGGGUGUUGCUAGGCAGUUGCUAAGGUGUUGCUAUGGUAUCCGGGGUGGUUGCUAAGGUGUUGCUAGGUGGUUGCUAGGUGGUUGCUAGGGUGUUGCUAGGCGGUUGCUAAGGUGUUGCUAUGGUAUCCGGGGUGGUUGCUAAGGUGUUGCUAGGGUGUUGCUAUGGUAUCCGCGGUGGUUGCUAAGGUGUUGCUAGGUGGUUGCUAGGGUGUUGCUAGGCGGUUGCUAAGGUGUUGCUAUGGUAUCUGGGGUGGUUGCUAAGGUGUUGCUAGAUGGUUGCUAGGUGGUUGCUAUGGUGUUGCUAGGCGGUUGCUAAGGUGUUGCUAUGGUAUCCGGGGUGGUUGCUAUGGUGUUUCUAGGUGGUUGCUAGGUGAUGUAUAUGCAUAAAUUUGAUUAAAUGGUGUUUGCACGUUGCUACGCAACGUGCAAAUACAUCAAUCAGCUAUGCACGCUAGGUUGCUCUGGCCGUUCGGGGGUGUCCAAACUUUUGACCCGUGGCUCCAUUACACACAGUACUGGGGGGCCGGGGUGUCCAA